UACGUAGGGUGCGAGCGUUGUCCGGAAUUAUUGGGCGUAAAGGGCUCGUAGGCGGUUUGUCGCGUCGGGAGUGAAAACCAUGGGCUUAACUCAUGGCUUGCUUCCGAUACGGGCAGACUAGAGGCAUGCAGGGGAGAGCGGAAUUCCUGGUGUAGCGGUGAAAUGCGCAGAUAUCAGGAGGAACACCGGUGGCGAAGGCGGUUCUCUGGGCAUGUCCUGACGCUGAGGAGCGAAAGUGUGGGGAGCGAACAGG
rnacentral:rRNA from 1 species